CUCUUGUGUAUCUUUCAAUUUUUUGCCAAAUGUGGGUAGGUUAACACCCUCAAACGCCAAUAUAUAGCAUAAUUUUAAAUAUCUAUGUAUAAUUCCAUUGCUUGGGUUAUGUACAGUGAUUUUAACCAUCUCCUAUAGUUAACAUUUCAGUGCUAUAUAAACAGUACUGAGAAAUAUCCUUGCUACUCAUCCGUGGAAAGGGAUCUAAGAAAUACCAAAGUGCAAAAGGCAAGGUAUGGAAUCAUAUGCAUGGCAUGGCCUCAUUUGAAAAAGAAAAAGGGGGGGGCGGAUAAAAUAGACAUUAUUUUUGGCUACCAAAGGAUGGUUGUAGACCACCACAAAAUCAAUCAAUUGCCGUGUGUGGUGAAGAAUGACACACUGAAAAAAUUGCUCCUGAUGUGAUAUUAAGCCCCAGUGGAGAUAGAGCUCCUGACCAUGCAGCCAGAAGACUGUCUACUGUGAGCUUGGCUCUGUAAAUCAGCUCUACCAAAUCAUAGUUUCAGGUGGACCCCAUAGCAACCCGCUGUAAGAUGGAAAUGGUACACCUGGGAUUGGGCACAAGCAGGCCAGAGAGCAUAACUAAGCUGCACAAAACAGGUGGUCCAGGUCCCCAUGUUAUGCACCACUGCUGCACUGACACCUCGACUUCAGUUCACACUAUGGCUGCAUGGGAGGUUUCCUUAUGACCAGCUGACAGAGGAGGAGAAAAACCAAGCAUGGUUCACGGAUGGGUCAGCUUGGUAUGUAGGAGCAAGAUGAAAAUGGACCUCAGCUGCAUUACAGUUCGCUCAGGGAUGACCUUGAAAAACAGCAGUCAGGGAAAAUCUUCCUAUUUGGAAAUGCUUAGGAUAAUGUACUGCAUUACCCACUUUGUGUGGAAAGAGAAAGGGCCCGAGGUCAGAGUAUAAUCACAUUCAUAGUCAGUGGAGAAUAGCUUGACCAAGUGGUUAGGGGCCUGGAAAGAAAAAGACUGUAAGAUCAAAGAAAAUGAGGCUGAGGUAGAGAUAGGUGAAUGGACCUACAGUCACAAAAUAUGAAGAUAUUUAUAUCUCAUGUUAAUGCUCACCAGAAAGUGUCCAUUACAGAGGAAGCCCUAAGCAAGCAAAUAGAUAGGAUGACUCAGCCAGCUGACGUCAGCCAGACUUUGUCAUUGACCACUCCUGUGCUUGCAUAAUUUGUUCGUAAACACAGUAGUCAUGGUGACAGAGAUGGAGGCUAUGAAUGAAUCCAACAGUAUGGGCUCUCAUUCACCAAGGUUGAUCUACCAACUGAUGCUGCUGAAUGUUCAACCUGCCAGCAAGAAAGAUGACAACUGAACCCCUGAUUUGACACCAUCCCUCAAGUAGAUCAUUCAGCCUCUUUGAGGUGUAAUACAUGAGUCUGGAAAUGAAGAAGUGGAAGUAGGAAUGACCCUGCUUUGUGCAUCCCAUCCCCUCAACUCUGGGCUCUAUGAGUUUAGAAAUCCUGGUUUCCAAAGGGGAAUGCUUCCACCAAGAGACACAACAGGAGUCCCAUUGAACUUCAAGCUACAGUUGCUGCCUGAGCAUUCAGACUCCUAUGUCGAGAGAUCAGCAGACAUGAAGAGAAGUCACCAUCUUGGCGGGGGUAGUAGACCCCAAUAAUCAGCAGGAAGUUGGGAUUCUGUUACACAGUGAGAGCAGAAAGGACCAGGUUUGGCACCCAAGCAAUCCACUUGGGUAUCCCGUGGUGCUUCCUUACGUGAUUUUGUAAAUGGAUAAGUACAUCAACCACAGCUUAAAAAGAGUAUUGGUACCAGGGCCCAAGAUCCCUCAGGUAUAAGGGUCUGGGUCACCUCACCGGGUAAACCACCUAGACUAGCAGAGGCACUAACUGAGGAUGAGAGGAAUCUAUGUUUGGAUAGUAGAAGCCAGAGACAAUGAGUAUAGUUGGGGCCUCAAGAUCAGCUGCAGUGGUGGAGGCUGUAUUUGGUCCCACUCUUCUCUCCUUACAAGCUUCCCUCAGGAAAAGAGGCCCACCAGAACCUGGAAGGCCUGUGUCCGCUUACACAACUAAGUGAUUCCAAAGGGCACAAAAAGUGGACUGUAGAGGACACAGUGAUUCACUUCCCAUAUGGGAAGUGAAGGACUCAUUCCCCCAAGCCACUGGGACUUUUCUCUAAGAAGCUUCCUCAGCUGAAGAGAGCGAUUUUGCCCGAGGUCACUUCUCAGGAUAGCUUGCAUCCAAAGACUGGUUGAUAUUGUGGUAUAAAGGCCUGGCCACCUCACUCCAACUCAGGACACCUCCGAAGUGCUAACCUAGCUUCAGAGCUCCUCAUGGAAUUGGUUGAAGCAUUUGUUGAAACUGCAUCAGAGCCCAACUUCUCCCUCUCCCCAAUCCUGCUACCUUUGCUUUCCCACAUGUGUUGAUCCUGAGGGCACUCUCAUAAACGUCCUGCGCGCCAACCUCCAUCUCACAGCCCACUUCCUGGGAACCCCACCCUGAAACAAUGCCCAUGUGUACAUACAAAAUUUCUGGAAGAAUACACAAGAAGUUGUUAAAUGUAAUUAUCGCAGAGUAGUAGGACUGGUGGUUGGGGAUUAUGGGAAGAAGACCGUUUCUUUUUUAAUAAAAAAAUAUUAAGUAUGAUUAUUAGUGAAAGCUAACAAAGAGUCAAAGAAAAAAAAGAGGGAGAUUUUACUUCACUUUCUUUUCUUCCUAGAUUGCUCUGCUGCCACAUGGUAAGCAAUCUAAAAUUUAUUGAAGUAAAUUAUUUUUAUCCCUUGGGAAAAAGCACACUAUAGUGCCACUGCUAAAACAUCACAGUGUGCCCCAAAAGAAAAAUGGACAAAUAUGAACAGACAAUUCACAAAAAAGGAAAUUCAGUUAGGUAAUAAAUAGUUAAAAACAAUAUUUACUUCAUGAGUAUCAGUGAAAUCCCAAUUAAAAUGUGAUUAACUAAUAAAAGAGUUCAAUUAAGAAUCCUAAUCAGGGACCAGCCCUGUGGCCGAGCGGUUAAGUUCGUGCUCUCCGUUUCAGCGGCCCAGGGUUUCGCCGGUUCAAAUCCUGGGCACGGACAUGGCACUGCUCGUCAAGCCACACUGAGGCAGUGUGCCACAUGCCACAAGUAGAAGGACCCACAACUAAAAAUCUACAACUAUGUACCAGGGGGCUUUGGGGA
ensembl:lncRNA